UACGGAGGAUGCGAGCGUUAUCCGGAUUUAUUGGGUUUAAAGGGUGCGCAGGCGGCACGGCAAGCCGGCGGUCAAAUCGCGGGGCUCAACCCCGCCCAGCCGUCGGAACUGCCGGGCUAGAGUGGGCGAGAAGUGCGCGGAAUGCGUGGUGUAGCGGUGAAAUGCAUAGAUAUCACGCAGAACUCCGAUUGCGAAGGCAGCGCACCGGCGCCCUACUGACGCUCAGGCACGAAAGCGUGGGUACCGAACAGG
rnacentral:rRNA from 1 species